CACUAAGCUAUUGUCAAUUGAGUUGGUUAUGAUGCAUAAAGAUGGCUUAAACAGAACAUCAAAACCUCUAUCACAUAAUUGACUAACGCUAAGUAAGUUAUGCUUAAGACCAUCUACAAACCGAACAUUAUCAACAAAGGUUGAAGGGGUGAUUUAUAUUUUACCGAUACCAAUGAUGUGACCUUGAUUAUUGUCUCCAAAAGUCACCGCACCUCCUUUUUUAGACUCUAGGAUGAAGAAUUGCUCCUUGUCACCCAUCAUGUGUCUUGAGCAGCCACUAUCCAACUACCAACAGUUUUUAUUGAGCUUGGCUGCAAGACACUCCUACACAAAGGAAAUCAUACAAUUUUAGGUACCCAAGUUUUCUUGGGUCCUUCAAGGUUAGUUAUGUUGGUUCCUUUUGGAACCCAAAUCUUUUUAAUCUUUCUUUUAGCUUCAGUUUUUCUAUGGUUACAUACAUUAGCUUUAUGUCCUACUCCACCAC
rnacentral:lncRNA from 1 species